GGGAAAAUGGUCUAGGGGUAUGAUUCUUGCUUUGGGUUACUGAAUGACCUAGCUGCAAGAGGUCCGGGGUUCGAAUCCCCGUUUUCCCC
rnacentral:tRNA from 1 species